UACGUAGGGUGCAAGCGUUGUCCGGAAUUAUUGGGCGUAAAGAGCUUGUAGGCGGUUUGUCGCGUCUGCUGUGAAAUUUCGGGGCUCAACCCCGAACUUGCAGUGGGUACGGGCAGACUAGAGUGUGGUAGGGGAGACUGGAAUUCCUGGUGUAGCGGUGAAAUGCGCAGAUAUCAGGAGGAACACCGAUGGCGAAGGCAGGUCUCUGGGCCACUACUGACGCUGAGAGGCGAAAGCAUGGGGAGCGAACAGG
rnacentral:rRNA from 1 species